rnacentral:rRNA from 1 species
UAACGCGUGGGUAACCUGCCGUAUACAGGGGGAUAACACUUAGAAAUAGGUGCUAAAACCGCAUAAGCGCACAGGAUCGCAUGGUCCGGUGUGAAAAACUCCGGUGGUAUACGAUGGACCCGCGUCUGAUUAGCUUGUUGGCGGGGUAGAGGCCCACCAAGGCGACGAUCAGUAGCCGGCCUGAGAGGGUGAACGGCCACAUUGGGACUGAGACACGGCCCAAACUCCUACGGGAGGCAGCAGUGGGGAAUAUUGCACAAUGGGGGAAACCCUGAUGCAGCGACGCCGCGUGAGUGAAGAAGUAUUUCGGUAUGUAAAGCUCUAUCAGCAGGAAAGAAAAUGACGGUACCUGACUAAGAAGCCCCGGCUAACUACGUGCCAGCAGCCGCGGUAAUACGUAGGGGGCAAGCGUUAUCCGGAUUUACUGGGUGUAAAGGGAGCGUAGACGGUGAAGCAAGUCUGAAGUGAAAGGCGGGGGCUCAACCCCCGGACUGCAUUGGAAACUACCGAACUAGAGUGUCGGAGAGGUAAGUGGAAUUCCUAGUGUAGCGGUGAAAUGCGUAGAUAUUAGGAGGAACACCAGUGGCGAAGGCGGCUUACUGGACNAUAACUGACGCUGAGGCUCGAAAGCGUGGGGAGCAAACAGGAUUAGAUACCCUGGUAGU